rnacentral:rRNA from 1 species
GAUGAACGCUGGCGGCGUGCCUAAUACAUGCAAGUCGAGCGAACGGACGAGAGGCUUGCUUCUCUGAUGUUAGCGGCGGACGGGUGAGUAACACGUGGAUAACCUACCUAUAAGACUGGGAUAACUUCGGGAAACCGGAGCUAAUACCGGAUAAUAUUUUGAACCGCAUGGUUCAAAAGUGAAAGACGGUCUUGCUGUCACUUAUAGAUGGAUCCGCGCUGCAUUAGCUAGUUGGUAAGGUAACGGCUUACCAAGGCAACGAUGCAUAGCCGACCUGAGAGGGUGAUCGGCCACACUGGAACUAAGACACGGUCCAGACUCCUACGGGAGGCAGCAGUAGGGAAUCUUCCGCAAUGGGCGAAAGCCUGACGGAGCAACGCCGCGUGAGUGAUGAAGGUCUUCGGAUCGUAAAACUCUGUUAUUAGGGAAGAACAUAUGUGUAAGUAACUGUGCACAUCUUGACGGUACCUAAUCAGAAAGCCACGGCUAACUACGUG